rnacentral:rRNA from 1 species
CUGCAUGGCUGUCGUCAGCUCGUGUCGUGAGAUGUUGGGUUAAGUCCGUAACGAGCGCAACCCUUGUCCUUAGUUACCGGCACGUUAUGGUGGGCACUCUAAGGAGACUGCCGGUGACAAACCGGACGGAAGGUGGGGAGUGACGUCAAGUCAUCAUGGCCCUUACGGCCUGGGCUACACACGUGCUACAAUGGUCGGUACAAAGGGUUGCCAAGCCGCGAGGUGGAGCUAAUCCCAUAAAACCGAUCGUAGUCCGGAUCGCAGUCUGCAACUCGACUGCGUGAAGUCGGAAUCGCUAGUAAUCGUGAAUCAGAAUGUCACGGUGAAUACGUUCCCGGGCCUU